GCUUAAUGGCCUCUGCUUAAAUAAGGCCUUGUCCUCUCAGCAAACUCUUUCCUAUCACAUGUAUUAUGUCAUUACAAUGUGAAACGUUUUUGCUCCUGGUCAGGCUUGAGAGAGGGAGACUCCUAUCUGAAAGUCAAAUAGGCGCCAUAGGGCUGACACACCAGGAGCGUCCCUCCUGCAAGCAGGAAAAAAACAACACACACACACACACACCAAAGCUGCCCUUGUGUCAACAAACUCUACUGCCAUGUUCCAGGAGAAGCCUCUGGACUACUUAAUGCCUAUUUUUUUCUACUUAAGAGACUACAGUUUUGGGAAAUAAAUGAAUACUGGAGUUAUCUGUGAAAAUACGGCACCUCCGGCAAACACUUGCCACACCUUCAUCCCUCUAACAGCCCUGCUAUCCAGUUGUCCAGAUGGGGUGCAGAUGCUGUAGCAUGCUAAAAAGGUAAGAAUGAAGAAAUAACCUGAAUUACUGAUCCUCACUCCAGCCGAGUGACAAAAGCUCACUGUGGCCUGUUGGUGUUUAUAAAUGUCGAGUGUGUCAGAAAGUCGAGUGGAGGAAGAAAAGGCUUUGAGAAGCUGUUAUUACUCUAAAUAUUGGUUGUUGUUCGCGAACAAAUCAGCCAUGCUAAAGGGAUCAGAAUAGCUACUGCAUUGCCUUUUACUUUCUUUCUGCAUUUAUCCUGGAGGAUCUAGCAGGAUGAAAGAAAAGAACAGUGUUGUAAAGGCUUCAUCUAAAGCACAAAUAUGACUGCUGAAUAUCACUGGCACUGUUAAUGUGCUUUAAAAUAUUAUCAAAAGCAAACCAGGUGGUUCUUCUGUGAAGAAGAAGAAAAUAUGUUAUGAAAGACACCUGUGCUAAAAGGGAAAUUGCAGCUUUAAACUCAAAGGAUAACAAGCUACUUUUAUCUCUUUCAUCCAGGCUUAAUGGUCAGGUAGUGUGUUAUCUGUGAAUGUAGCCAGCCUAAAUGCUUAGUGUGUUAUCUGUGAAUGUAGCCAGCCUAAAUAGUGAAGUAGUGAAAUUAUCCAUGAAUGUAGCCAGGCUAAAUGAUGAGGUAGUGCGUUAUCUGUGAAUGUAGCCAUUCUAAAUGGUCAGCAAGAAUGUCAUUUCCCAGUAGCCACCAAUGAUAAUGGCCUCUAUUUUGUUACUGCUAUAAAUUCGAUAGUUUUGCUGGUUAUAGUACAGAUUCAGUGGAAGGUGUACAUAAUGCCCAGUGUCACACUUCUAGGCUUAGCUCGAGUUGGUUAAAUGGAUUGCCUCAUGCAAAUACCAUACAAACGUGACCCAAAGCACACAAACUUUGUUCCACUUUUUUUGUUUAAACGCGUUCCCCUUAGACAUUCACAUUAAAUGCCUCUUUGCUUUUUCCCAACACUUAAUAUUUCCUACACUGUGAGGAUUUUGUUUUGGGUUAUGACCAUUACAAUAUCUGUGGGUUUGUGCAGGUAUAGGUAAAUCCCUAUAAGCUAAAACAGG
ensembl:lncRNA